rnacentral:rRNA from 1 species
CAGUCGCCGCGGUAAUACGUAGGGUGCAAGCGUUAAUCGGAAUUACUGGGCGUAAAGCGUGCGCAGGCGGUUAUAUAAGUCAGAUGUGAAAUCCCCGGGCUCAACCUGGGAACUGCAUUUGAGACUGUAUGGCUAGAGUGUGUCAGAGGGGGGUAGAAUUCCACGUGUAGCAGUGAAAUGCGUAGAUAUGUGGAGGAAUACCGAUGGCGAAGGCAGCCCCCUGGGAUAACACUGACGCUCAUGCACGAAAGCGUGGGGAGCAAACAGGAUUAGAUACCCGUGUAGUCCCUGUCUCUUAUAC